rnacentral:tRNA from 1 species
GUGGCUGUAGCUCAGUGGGUGGAGCUCAUGCUUAGCAUGCAUGAGGUCCUAGGUUCUAUCCCUAGUACUUCCA